rnacentral:rRNA from 1 species
AUUAAAUUUGUUGCAGUUAAAAAGCUCGUAGUUGGAUUUCGGAGUGUGAGAGGGUGUUGGUCCGGCGAAAUGCUGUGAUCUGCUCUUCACCUCCUACCUUUCAAACGCACGCCCGUAGCCUCAACUGGUUGUGGAGUCGGGCUUUGGAUCGUUUACUUUGAAAAAAUUAGAGUGUUUAAAGCAGGCGUAACCAGCCUCUGAAUACCGCAGCAUGGGAUAAUAAAAUAGGACUUUGGGCCUAUUUUGUUGGUUUUUAGGUCUGAAGUAAUGAUUAAAAGGGAUAGUUGGGGGUAUUAGUAUUUAGUUGUCAGAGGUGAAAUUCUAAGAUUUACUAAAGACUAACUACUGCGAAAGCAUUUACCAAGGAUGUUUUCAUUAAUCAAGAACGAAAGUUGGGGGAUCGAAGAUGAUCAGAUACCGUCGUAGUCCUAACCUUAAACUAUGCCGACCAGGGAUUCGGAGAAGUUAAAUGGAUGACUCUCCGGGCACCUUGUGAGAAAUCAUAAGUAUUUGGGUUCCGGGGGGAGUAUGGUCGCAAGGCUGAAACUUAAAGGAAUUGACGGAAGGGCACCACCGAGUGGAACCUGCGGCUUAAUUUGACCCAACACGGGAAAACUCACCAGGUCCAGACACAGGAAGGAUUGACAGAUUGAUAGCUCUUUCUUGAUUCUGUGGGUGGUGGUGCAUGGCCGUUUCUAGUUGGUGGAGCGAUUUGUCUGGUUAAUUCCGUUGACGAACGAGACCUUAACCUAUUAAAUAGUCGUGCGAAGUGUGCCGAUUUAUCGGUAACUGCUUUGCAAGAGACUUCUUAGAGGGACUAUUCGAACCUAAGCGAAUGGAAGUUUGAGGCCAAAACAGGUCUGUGAUGCCCUUCGAUGUCCUGGGCUGCACGCGCGUUACACUGAUGCAUUCAACGAGUUUUUUCCUUGUCCUGUAGGGUUGGGUAAACUUUUCAAAGUGCAUCGUGCUGGGGAUAGAUGUUUGUAAUUAUCCAUCUUGAACGAGGAAUUCCUAGUAAGUGCAUGUCAUCAACAUGCGCUGAUUACGUCCCUGCCCUUUGUACACACCGCCCGUCGCUCCUACCGAUUGGAUGGUCCGGCAAGAACUUCGGAUGCCUUGGAUCUCGGUGGAUGUAAUAGUCCGCUGAACCAUUGGCA